CAAUUAAGCAGGGAAGGGAAGGGAUCUCGGGGAAGACUGCGGGGUUUGGAGAGUCCUUGAGCCUGAGCUUUGGACACCGUGGAGGGACAUGGUCUUGUUCGUCACACUGAACCUGAGGACACAGAUGAUGCCUCGGAGUAGCACUCUGAUGUUCCCAGUUCCUCCUCUCUCACGCAGCGUUAAAAAGUCUGGAUGGAAGUGACCCUAGAUGCCCGGCGAGAUUCUGCCGCCACACACACACACACACAACCUCCGCUGUGACUGAAGCACCCCGCUGAGAGCUCAGAUGUCAGAGGUCGGCCUUCACCAUCAUAACCUCUACAUACGUGUCUUCCGGUC